rnacentral:rRNA from 2 species
UACAACUUUCGACAACGGAUCUCUUGGCUCUCGCAUCGAUGAAGAACGCAGCGAAAUGCGAUAAGUAAUGUGAAUUGCAGAAUUCAGUGAAUCAUCGAAUCUUUGAACGCACCUUGCGCCCUUUGGUAUUCCGAGGGGCAUGCCUGUUUGAGUGUCAU